UGCAGUCGAACGCUUCUUUUCCCACCGGAGCUUGCUCCACCGGGAAAAGAGGAGUGGCGAACGGGUGAGUAACACGUGGGUAACCUGCCCAUCAGAAGGGGAUAACACUUGGAAACAGGUGCUAAUACCGUAUAACAAUCGAAACCGCAUGGUUUCGUUUUGAAAGGCGCUUUACGGUGCCGCUGAUGGAUGGACCCGCGGUGCAUUAGCUAGUUGGUGAGGUAACGGCUCACCAAGGCCACGAUGCAUAGCCGACCUGAGAGGGUGAUCGGCCACAUUGGGACUGAGACACGGCCCAAACUCCUACGGGAGGCAGCAGUAGGGAAUCUUCGGCAAUGGACGAAAGUCUGACCGAGCAACGCCGCGUGAGUGAAGAAGGUUUUCGGAUCGUAAAACUCUGUUGUUAGAGAAGAACAAGGGUGAGAGUAACUGUUCACCCCUUGACGGUAUCUAACCAGAAAGCCACGGCUAACUACGUGCCAGCAGCCGCGGUAAUACGUAGGUGGCAAGCGUUGUCCGGAUUUAUUGGGCGUAAAGCGAGCGCAGGCGGUUUCUUAAGUCUGAUGUGAAAGCCCCCGGCUCAACCGGGGAGGGUCAUUGGAAACUGGGAGACUUGAGUGCAGAAGAGGAGAGUGGAAUUCCAUGUGUAGCGGUGAAAUGCGUAGAUAUAUGGAGGAACACCAGUGGCGAAGGCGGCUCUCUGGUCUGUAACUGACGCUGAGGCUCGAAAGCGUGGGGAGCAAACAGGAUUAGAUACCCUGGUAGUCCACGCCGUAAACGAUGAGUGCUAAGUGUUGGAGGGUUUCCGCCCUUCAGUGCUGCAGCUAACGCAUUAAGCACUCCGCCUGGGGAGUACGACCGCAAGGUUGAAACUCAAAGGAAUUGACGGGGGCCCGCACAAGCGGUGGAGCAUGUGGUUUAAUUCCAAGCAACGCAAA
rnacentral:rRNA from 1 species